UGAUAGGUAGCGCCGGCUAUUUAUCAGCAAAAGUGUAGAUCAACAAUUCUUAGGCCUUAGAAGGAAUUGUUGAUGGACACUUUUUUUU
rnacentral:ncRNA from 1 species